UACGGGGGGGGCAAGCGUUGUUCGGAAUUACUGGGCGUAAAGGGUGCGUAGGUGGCCUGUCAAGUCGGGUGUGAAAACUCUGGGCUUAACCCAGAGCCUGCAUUCGAUACUGAUGGGCUAGAGUUCUGGAGGGGAAAGCGGAAUUCCUGGUGUAGCGGUGAAAUGCGUAGAUAUCAGGAGGAACACCGGUGGCGAAGGCGGCUUUCUGGACAGAAACUGACACUGAGGCACGAAAGCUAGGGGAGCAAACAGG
rnacentral:rRNA from 1 species